GGCCUUUAGCCAUACCAAGUAUUAAAGGUCCUGCCUGCCCAGUGAGCUUCUUCAACGGCCGCGGUACCAUAACCGUGCAAAGGUAGCGUAAUCACUUGUCUCCUAAAUAGAGACCCGUAUGAAUGACUACAUGAGGGCACCCCUGUCUCCUAGGGCCGAUCAAUAAAACUGAUCCAUCAGUACAAAAGCUGAUAUACUACCAUAAGACGAGAAGACCCUGUGGAGCUUUAAACACCCUACUAAUCAACCAGCCCCUCCGCCACCACGGCCACACAACACUGGAAGUAUAGUAUAAAAGUCUUAAGUUGGGGCGACUACGGAACAAAACAAACCUUCCGUGUAAUAAGACCAACCGUCAACCAAAGGCUGACAGGCCAAAACUUGACCCAGUAAUAAACUGACCAACGAACCAAGUUACCCCAGGGAUAACAGCGCUAUCCCCUUCAAGAGUCCUUAUCGCCAAGGGGGCUUACGACCUCGAUGUUGGAUCAGGACACCCCGGUGGUGCAACCACUACCAAAGGUUCGUUUGUUCAACGAUUAAAGUCCU
rnacentral:rRNA from 1 species